rnacentral:tRNA from 8 species
GCGCCCGUAGUUCAGCCCGGAUAGAACGCCAGGUUGCGGACCUGGAAGUCGUAGGUUCAAAUCCUGCCGGGCGCACCA